AACGAACGCUGGCGGCAUGCCUAACACAUGCAAGUCGAACGAGAUCUUCGGGUCUAGUGGCGCACGGGUGCGUAACGCGUGGGAAUCUGCCCUUUGGUUCGGAAUAACAGUUGGAAACGACUGCUAAUACCGGAUGAUGACGAAAGUCCAAAGAUUUAUCGCCAGAGGAUGAGCCCGCGUAGGAUUAGCUAGUUGGUGUGGUACAGGCGCACCAAGGCGACGAUCCUUAGCUGGUCUGAGAGGAUGAUCAGCCACACUGGGACUGAGACACGGCCCAGACUCCUACGGGAGGCAGCAGUGGGGAAUAUUGGACAAUGGGCGAAAGCCUGACCCAGCAAUGCCGCGUGAGUGAUGAAGGCCUUAGGGUUGUAAAGCUCCUUUACCCGGGAUGAUAAUGACAGUACCGGGAGAAUAAGCUCCGGCUAACUCCGUGCCAGCAGCCGCCGUAA
rnacentral:rRNA from 1 species